rnacentral:rRNA from 1 species
UGGGGAAUAUUGCACAAUGGGCGCAAGCCUGAUGCAGCAACGCCGCGUGAGGGACGACGGCCUUCGGGUUGUAAACCUCUUUUGGCAGGGAAGAAGCGAAAGUGACGGUACCUGCAGAAAAAGCACCGGCUAACUACGUGCCAGCAGCCGCGGUGAUACGUAGGGUGCAAGCGUUGUCCGGAAUUAUUGGGCGUAAAGAGCUCGUAGGCGGUUUGUCGCGUCUGCUGUGAAAACCCGAGGCUCAACCUCGGGCCUGCAGUGGGUACGGGCAAACUAGAGUGCGGUAGGGGAGAUUCGAAUUCCUGGUGUAGCGGUGGAAUGCGCAGAUAUCAGGAGGAACACCGAUGGCGAAGGCAGAUCUCUGGGCCGUAACUGACGCUGAGGAGCGAAAGCAUGGGGAGCGAACA